rnacentral:rRNA from 1 species
UACGGAGGGUGCGAGCGUUGUCCGGAAUCACUGGGCGUAAAGGGCGCGUAGGUGGCUCGGUAAGUGGCUGGUGAAAUCCCGGGGCUCAACUCCGGGGCUGCCGGUCAGACUGCCAGGCUAGAGCACGGUAGGGGCAGAUGGAAUUCCCGGUGUAGCGGUGGAAUGCGUAGAUAUCGGGAAGAACACCAGUGGCGAAGGCGUUCUGCUGGGCCGUUGCUGACACUGAGGAGCGACAGCGUGGGGAGCAAACAGG